UGCGUCAUCAUUCCGCGCCACGUGCAAUGUGGAGGACAUCAAUCAAGUAUGGGACACCUUGGAGGUUUAUUUCUUUUUCUCGCGCCUCUAACCUGGUGUCAUAUUUGGGGUGUUUCAGGUCGCUCUCUGCCCGCCUGCCACGAGCAGCUGGAGUUCAGGUGCAGCGAUGGCUUGUGCAUCCAGAGACCGAGCGUGUGUGACGGACACACAGACUGCAAAGACGGAUCAGAUGAACACCACUGUGGUCACCUGUGGUGUAAAAAAGAUGAAUUUGCCUGCCGCAGCAGACGGUGCAUAUCUCCACGUUUCCUUUGCAAUGGCGUGGAUGACUGUGGGGACGGGAGUGACGAGGCCUUCUGCCAGAACUGCACCACCCCUGGCUUCUUUUCCUGCGAGCCGUCUGACACCUGUCUGCCCAGAGACAAGCUGUGUGAUGGGCGAACUGACUGCAAAAACCGGCAGGAUGAGUCUUGGGAGAUUUGUGGUUUGUCUCGGCUAAGCCCGCAGACGUCUCCCAAGUGUACGCCAUCUGAGUUUCAGUGUGGAGACGGGCAUUGCAUCCGCCAGAUCUGGAGGUGUGACAAUUCACCAGACUGCUCUGAUGACAGCGAUGAGGACAACUGUGAUCAGAACGAGUGUGAGGUCAAUAAUGGAGGCUGCUCUCAUCUGUGUGUGGACCAGAAGAUGGGAUUCCACUGCGACUGCCCCGGCAACAUGAGGCUGGUCGGGGACAGCUACUGUGAAGAGGUUGACACAUGCCUGGAGAGCGAUGUGUGCGAUCAGCUGUGUGUUCACAUGAACGGCAGCCUUGCCUGCGACUGCUACGAGGACUACCAGAUGAAUCCAACAACCAGAGAGUGCAAGGCCAAAGGGAAUGAGGCUCAGCUGGUUUUCACUUCUUCUAAAGGAAUGUGUUGGACAAGCAUCACUGGUAACGAUUACAGGGAACCGGCUGCACAUUUACCAGGACCAGGGCCAGUGGCAGCCUUGGCCUCUAACCGAACACUGUUCUGGGCCCGGCAAGGAAAAGGCUCUGUAUACAGGAUUUCCAUGGAUGGAAAGCUGCAUGAUUCAGUGUUGGUGCUGAAAGUUCAAGGUUCAGUGUCAGGCCUGGCUGUGGACUGGGUCCACCAUCUCCUCUACUGGACCAGUAUGGAGAGCGGUUCUGUUAACGUUGGCCUGCUAGACGGUUCAGCUCAGCGUCGGCUUAUCACCGGACUGGACAAACCUUCUGCAGUGGCUCUGGAUCCUCUCCGAGGGCUGCUCUUCUGGGCUCAGUCUGGCCGCCCCCCAAAGAUUGAGAGAGCUAGCUUGGACGGUCGGGACAGGAUGGCUCUGGUCACUUCCUUAAUACUCUACCCUGUCGCUCUCUCUCUGGAUAUGCCUCGUCAGCUGCUGUACUGGGUUGACCAGGGAAUGAGAAGCAUCUCCAGAGUAAAUCUAGACGGCCGUGACCGUAAAACAGUGGUAGAGUCGAACGGUUAUUUGGAUCAGCCUUUCGGACUAGCUGUGUUUGAGGGUUUUGUAUAUUGGAGUGAAGAAGUGACACGCUCCAUCUGCCGAGCCAACAAACACAACGGUCGCGACCACCAAGUACUGCUAUCAAACGUCACCUCACCAGGUGGUGUUGUCAUAAUCCAACCUGCUCUCCAACCAAAUGGUCCAUCUGUAUGUGGACAUACCGGGAUGCUGUGCCAUCAAGAGUGCACUGUUGACCUACUGUCUGAGAGUCCAGAGUUCAGCUGCACUCCUCCAGAAAAAGGACAAAACACAUCUCAAGAAAUUCCUGCCAUUUCUUGCACCGUUCCUGCAUCAACUUUAUCUGACCCGACGUCUGCUGGAAUCCUCUCUCUUAUCAUGUUUCUUAGUGUGCUGCUGGUGGGAAUGGCUCUGUGGUGGUGGAGAGAGGAGUUCAGACCGUCCAGGUCUCUCACUGAGCAGAGCAUCUCCCUUAAAGAGUCCCAGGACCCGCUCAUCAUCCAGGGGCCGCACAUGGCUCCAAACACAUGCCUUGUGAAGGCAAGAGAAGUUUGUGCACACACAAAAAAAAAGUAGACACACAGGCACCUUCAUUCACCUUCAGAGAGGAUAUGGCAUUCAUUCAGCUACACGAAACUCUGCUUAAGCUGGACUUGGACGAUGAAUGAAGACGGUGCAACACAGAUGGCCAGCUGCCUGUUGCUGUCUCAACCCCCGCAGUGACCUCAGGGCUGACAGACGACAACAAACCUGUCGUCUUGUCCCAACUCCGUGUGCAGAUUAAGAGAAAUGACCUGGUGGUAAAUAUCAGCGUUUAGAUGAGGAAAAGACUUUGGAACAGUAACUUCUGUUUUUGAAGAAGUGUUACUUUCAGCUCUUGUGGCUCCAGAAUUCCUCUUUGUUAACAGUGAUGAUGUUUGCUUAUAUUCUAUUGAACAAACCUACAUCGAAUUUUUUGUGCUUUGAAUGUCAGCACGGAUAUUUUGCCUUAUUUUUCAAACCCUUUAUGUGAAGCAUUUUCCUCUGCGAUUUACCAGUUAUGUUAAAACUGUAGCUCAGUGGAAAUGUGAUCCGUUUAGUUUAUAGCUGAAACAAGUAGUUCAUUAAUCGCUUAGUCGAUCGAAAGAAAAUGAAUGACUAUUUCGAUAAUUGAUUAUUGAUUAUAGAUUAUUUAAGUCAAAGCAUUGAACAUUUGCUGGUUCCAGCUUCUGCUUUUGUUUUCUCUUCUGUGACAGUAAACUAAAUAUAUAUUUGGGUUUUAGACUGUUGAUCAGACAACAACAAUCAAUUGGGAGAUUGAGAGAUUUUACAGAUCAGUUGAUUAAUAGCAAUAGUUGCAGUUCUACUGUACAUUUUUAUUUUAUUGUUGCACUUUCUCACUCAACGUUUAUUUCAUCUUAUGCAAUCAAAACUAUAGUUUUGCAAUAUUAUGGAGGGUUUUUACUUUACAACAUCAAACAGAAAUAUUAUAAAUAAUACGACUAAAAAACUGACAUCAAAAAUCAAAUCAACGGGGCGACCUUUAGCUCACCCAGUAA